rnacentral:rRNA from 1 species
GACGAACGCUGGCGGCGUGCCUAAUACAUGCAAGUCGAACGAACCGCGACUGAGUGCUUGCACUUGGUCAAGGUGAGUGGCGAACGGGUGAGUAACACGUGGGUAACCUACCUCAUAGUGGGGGAUAACAGUCGGAAACGACUGCUAAUACCGCAUAGGACAUGGAAUCACAUGAUUCUGUGAGGAAAGGUGGCGCAAGCUAUCGCUAAGAGAUGGAUCCGCGGUGCAUUAGCUAGUUGGUAGGGUAAGGGCCUACCAAGGCGAUGAUGCAUAGCCGACCUGAGAGGGUGAUCGGCCACAUUGGGACUGAGACACGGCCCAAACUCCUACGGGAGGCAGCAGUAGGGAAUCUUCCGCAAUGGACGCAAGUCUGACGGAGCAACGCCGCGUGAGUGAAGAAGGUCUUCGGAUCGUAAAGCUCUGUUGUUAGAGAAGAACAGCGCAUAGAGUAACUGUUAUGCGUGUGACGGUAUCUAACCAGAAAGCCACGGCUAACUACGUG